AUCGAACGCUGGCGGCAGGCCUAACACAUGCAAGUCGAGCGGAGCGGGGGACGGGUGAUUAAUGCCUAGGGAUCUGCCUGUUAGUGGGGGAUAACGUACGGAAACGGGCGCUAAUACCACAUACUAUCAGAUGAGCCUCGGUCGGCUUAGCUAGUGGGUGGGGUAAAGGCAUACCAAGGCGACGAUCCGUAACGGGUCUGAGAGGAUGAUCAGUAACACUGGAACUGAGACACGGUCCAGACUCCUACGGGAGGCAGCAGUGUGGAAUAUUGGACAAUGGGCGAAAGCCUGAUCCAGCCAUGCCGCGUGUGUGAAGAAGGUCUUCGGAUUGUAAAGCACUUUAAGUUGGGAGGCGUUACCAACAGAAUAAGCACCGGCUAACUUCGUGCCAGCAGCCGCGGUAAUUC
rnacentral:rRNA from 1 species